AAAAAUUGCUUUAUUAAAUCACAAUGAAGGUGAUAUUGUUCAACAUCCAGCGGCGUCAAGUCAAAAAACAAACUGAAAGAUUGUAUCGACUUAAAUGAUGCAGAAGACUCCUGAACCUUUGUAUUCAAAAGAACUGUCGUCAUAAAUCGUCUUUAUUGACUUGAAAAGGCAACAAGAAAAGAUCACCGACUUUCGCUUAAGCACGGUUCAAACGUCGUGCUUUUCAUGUGCCAAACCUAAUUCAUAUUAGGUACGGCAAAGAACGACGUGGCUCGACGUCGAUUCAAAAGUCAAACUUAAUUUGUCGAAUUUUGCGCAUGAUCACAACGAGCAAAUUAACCUAUUAAUCUAGGGUCGCACGACACUUUUCUUACGUACGAUUUAAUAUGCAAAUAAGGGAAUUAAGACACUUGCUGGGCUACUUACUGUUUAUUCACCAUUAAACUUAUCCACGACAUUUACAUCAUUAAACUUACUAUAAAUUUAGGGUCGCACGACGCUUUUCGUACGCGUUAUUUACCAGAUAGUUUGUGAAAAUUCAUUAAAUGUUUCAAUAUUUUAUAGCAGAUG